rnacentral:rRNA from 1 species
AACGAACGCUGGCGGCAGGCCUAACACAUGCAAGUCGAGCGAGGACUUCGGUCCUAGCGGCGGACGGGUGAGUAACGCGUGGGAACGUGCCCUUUGCUUCGGAAUAGCCCUGGGAAACUGGGAGUAAUACCGGAUGAGCCCUUUGGGGGAAAGAUUUAUCGGCGAAGGAUCGGCCCGCGUUGGAUUAGGUAGUUGGUGGGGUAAUGGCCUACCAAGCCGACGAUCCAUAGCUGGUUUGAGAGGAUGAUCAGCCACACUGGGACUGAGACACGGCCCAGACUCCUACGGGAGGCAGCAGUGGGGAAUCUGAGACAAUGGGGGAAACCCUGAUCUAGCCAGGCCGCGUGAGCGAUGAAGGCCUUAGGGUGGUAAAGCUCUUUCAGCGGGGAAGAUAAUGACGGUACCAGCAGAAGAAGCCCCGGCUAACUCCGU